GUCUCUCUGUCUCUGUCUGUCUCUGUCUCUGUCUCUCUGUCUAUCUUGUUGUCUGUCUGUCUGUCUGUCUAUCUCUCUCUCAGGAGGUGGGUAGCUUGUUUCAUCAUCCUGGGAAGACUUUAUUCCAUUUCAGCUGCACACAGGAAAACACACCAAGCCUCAGCAUGUUGAAGAGCUGAAACGUUGUGGAUGCCAGGAUUCUGUGUGGGGGUAGAGUACCUCCUAUCAUUGGCUGCCACCACUGGAAUGAAUGUGCCUUAGUCUUAGAUGAUAUGGAAUCUGAGCAGGGCUCCUCACUCCAUCCCAGAAGAUGGACAGGCUAGCUGGAUCCAAUGGGCUUUAGUUUUCAUCCUGGGUAGAAUUCUGGGAAAGAACAUCUGAAUGUGCUUCAGUAACUGUGUCAUUGUCACAAUAUAUAUUACAUCUAGACAUUCUAAGGCAAUUCUAAGGCUCUAUGUGUGUCUAUAUACAGGCAAGGAAACUAAGGCAGAGAAAUUCAUCAAAUCACAACAUGCUGGUGCUGGAAAGGACCUUUGAAUUCAUUUACGUCUCCUACCAUCCCUUCCCAGCGUGGACCAUGGAGCAGCAGUGAGGAUUCUGGGAAACACAGAAGAAUUUGAUGACUCAGGAAUUUGAAUUCUCCUCCUGGAGUCACUGCUGUUGAUGGACUGAUUGUAGGCACCUCUGGGCACGUGGACAAAGUGAUACUUACAAAAACAACAGAUUGACAAGAGUCGAAUUCUAUGACUAACCCCCUUCACCCAUCCUCAGGCAGAAGCUCAAGUCAGAACAUGAAAUUACUCUAAUGUUUGCCCUAAAGGCCUGGAUGGUUCGACUUUUUAAUGAACUAACUGGGAAAGCACAUGGUUGACGGGAGGACCUGCUAAGUCUUAAGUCCUUGUCACGUCCUCUUAUCAGAGGGUCGGAAGAUGGGGAGAUCGCCCCAUUUCCUGAGGUUUAGGAAUAUAAUCCAGCACGAGCUUGGCAUGGUUUUGACUUGUUGGACUCCCUUCCCAAUGGUCAUCGUGAGAAUUCCUAGAAGAAAUAGGCAUGGCCAGCUCCGUCGUACACAGUGUGAAAAGAAAUGCAAUGGCUCUCUAGAGGUAAACUGAAGGGCAGGGAACAUCUGCCCUCAAUCAUGGGAGCUGGUAAGCAAAAUACAUUCCACAUGGUCCACAGCAGGCCACAACGCAUUCCAGCUGUUUAAAGAGCGCCAGAUGAAAUGAGCAGUAUCCAAGAGGAAAGAGCAUCAGGCCAGCCUCUUGCUGAGUUCCAGAACAGCUUCUGGCGGGUAGAUUAAAGAGCAAAGACUGGAAGCUUUGGAGAGUGGACUGAAGCUUGUGGCAUAAAAGAACUUUCUGAUAAUGGGAGCUAUGGCCAAAAUUGGCCCCUGAAGAACUCAGCAAAAUGUGCUGGUAUACCUUUAAAAAAAGACUGGUGGAGAAUCUGCUGACUGGAAUCCAGAUGUGGUGAGUGAAAGGCUGACUCCUUUCAUAUUGGAUUUUUCUGAAGAGACUUCUAGCCCCAGGAGAGACUUCCCCAGGUCCUCAGCUUUGCCGAUGCUUAAGGACUAACUCUCCCUGCCCGGGUUGGACCACGGAUAAUCUCCUUUGUCACAGGAUGAUGGACUCAGAAAUAAAGUGUCAUCUUAGACUGUUGUUGAAGAAAUAUCAAGUCCUGAUCUGCUCCUACUGAUCCAGUGAUCUCUUGUGUUGCAUUUCCCUGGGGCACUGAAUUACACAGUACAAGGAGGUGGAAUCAGGAUGAGAAGUGACUCAGAAGUAAUGGAGUUCACAUCAGGGCCACCUCAUAGAAGACUUCAGUGGCCGUGGUCUCGGCGCACUGGGCAAAGAGAGAACGCAGCAGCCCUGUGCCACGGCGGAUGGGCGGGAGGAGGAUUAAUGAACUCACAGCCAGAGAGGGCUUUCAUCUUCUCCCAGAGAGCAGCAGCCAAUGGAAAACACACUUCGCAAAGGCAGCCUUGUCAGUUACACAGCCGUGUCAAUUACCAGCGUUGUUAAUUACGCAGCCUCGUCAAUUACAUGUCCCUGCCCUGCUCUUUUCAGGGAGAUUUUAGUAUUCUGUUUUCGGAGUUUAUGCUUCUUAUUGAGAGACGUUUUCUCUUCCAGAUUCAUCUUGGCAGAUUAAUACCCAGCAUGAUAGCAUUCCUGUCAAUGGGCAUUUGGAAUAAUGCCUUUAAAGUUCCCUUUGAUAGCAAGGGAGCCAAAUGAUGCAUAACAUGAGGAAGGUUUGGGUUUCAUUGCUAGACACAUGAUUGAAGCCAGUGCAGAUGUCUGAUAUAAUCUUUAACUAUGUUUGCUGGGGAAUACUGUAGCCCUGUAUAUUUGACACUAGAGCCCCAAGAGUUUGAAAGAUUUUUCUGGGAACACACAGACAGUAAAUGCCAGAGAGAGAGACCUUGAACCUAGACGUUCCAGGGUUGACGCCGGCUCUCCAUCAACACACCACUCAGCCUCUUAGAAUUUUAUGAAAAUGCACUUCAAUAAAAGAUCAUGAUAACAUGUAUUUUGUUCAUGAAGAUUUACCUGGAGAGAAUUCUAGGUAAUGAUACAGAUAUGGGGAUAGUCCGGGGAUGGGAGUUUUAUAAUAUCAAUUCUAUUGUUGUUAUUACAGACAUUUAUUUCCCAUCCUUGAUUAUCUGCUCUACUGGAGUAGAACAGGGGCAUUCAAUAAUAAACAUCAAAGAGAAUUUAGUGCAGAAUUAAAAAAUCUCUUGUAUUUCUUUGGGGAAUGCAAUUUUAUACCUCUAAAUAAAUAGGAGUAUAUCUGAAGUUCUGAGAAUUCCUGCUACUUCAGCCCAAAUGGGGGAAACCUGCUGUGAAGAUGACCCAACUUCUUGCCUUCCUACUUCCUCUUUAAAUGUGCUCUCUGUGUGGCUACGAACCCAAUCGCUUCUCAGACUGAGCUUUAGCUACCAUCUUUUAUUCUUCUCAUAGAAUCACCAAAUGUGAUUUGGGAUCUCAGAGGUUAUCGAGUCCUUUAAACCUCUCAAAAAGAUUCCUUUCUAAUACUUCACUGAUCCCAUCCAACCUUAGUUUGAAGACCUCCAGUGAGGGAAGAACCCAUUGUUUCCCUGGAUGGGUAGAUCAUUCUGCUUUUGCAUACGCUUCCCUCAACUUACAGGCUUAGUUCCCUUUAAAGAUGGUUAUCCCAGCUUCAUGGUCUUCUUUGGAUCCAUAGACCUAAAACUUUUUCUCAUGAGUCCCUUCUGGAUGUGUUUAUCUUUCAGACUUAGCAAAAGAAUGCAGUUUAGUUAAAAGUCAUGGUAUUUAAUAAGAUGGACUAGAUAGAGGAGAAAAAAAUAUUUCUCCCCAAACUGGAAGCUAACAAAUACAGUCAAUAUUAGUAGGACAAAUGCAGAGGCACACGUGUAGGAAAUGUGUGGGCAGGAUGCAUAUAUAAAAAAGGCAACUCAUGCUUCAACAAUUCAGGGCUGCUAAUGCCUUCUAAUGAUGUCUCAGUGCUGAUCCAUUAAAAAUGGCGUCAAUGGUUGGGAUGUUUUUCCUUAUAUCAAGCAAAAAUCUUGUGCUCUAGAGCUUCUAACUUUUGCUCUUAGCUCUUCCAUAGAGGCCAAGAAGAAAGAGGCUCAUCCUUCUUUUACAUGAUAGGUCUACAAAUACUUAGACUAAUGCCAAUGCUCCCUCCUCAUUCCCGCUCUCCUCAACAUCUUCUGUAUUUCACAUUAAAUCCAUCAAUCUGGUUGUAGAUCUUAAGGAACAGAAAUAGAGUUGUGAACUCCCUAAAACCAGUUAUACAGGGUUUGUUGACCAAAGAACAGAUUGUCAAAGGAACAUAUGGAAAAGGACCCAAGGAUGCAUGUACUGAUUAGCUGGGCUGCCUGCUCAGUUCUUGACUCUCUUCUCAUCCCUGAGAAGCAAAGCAGCAUGCCUCAUUGGUCCAGGCAAUCCUAGCCUCAUCCAGAAUGCCAGUUAGGUUAGUGGCAAUGUCAUUUGAGGGAAAUUGCUAUUCACUAUUUUAUGCUCUGGAGGGCAAGGCAGUUGGGACCUUUGUUAAUGAAAGUGGGAGGGUACUGCUUAGAUCCAGAGGGUAGAAAUAAGAUGGGUAGAAUCUAGAGAGUGAUUUCUACUUGAUCCUGUUCCCUGUAAAUUUCUGGCAAUCACAGCUUACAGCAACCAAUUAUAUUAGGUAUUUCUGCUGUCCAUUGGAAAAAUCAGUGGGAGUAUCUAGGUGAUUCAGUGGAUAGAGAGCCAGACCUAGAGACAAGAGGUUCAAAUCUGGCCUCAGACACUUCCUAGCUGGGUGGCUCUGGGCAAGUCACUUAACUCCCAUUGCCUAGCCCUUACUGUUCUUCUGCCUUGGAACCAAUACACUUUAUUGAUUAUAAGACAGAAAGUAAGGGAUUAAAAAAAAGAGUGGUGGCCAGGGAGCCAGUCAAUUAGCAUUUAUUAAGUACUUUCUUUAUGCCAGGCAUUCUGCUAAGCACUAGGGGUACAGAAGCCCCAAACAGUCCUUACUCUCUAGAAGCUCACAGUCUAAUGGAUUUAGAGGACCUGGGUUCAAGAAUCACCUCUGAUCUUACAUAUGUGACCUUGAACAAGUUAUAGCUUCUCUGGAUCUUGGUUACUUUAUGAAAAGAAAAAGAAGUUAGACUUGAUGACUUCUAAGACUUUUCCAUCUUUAAUUCUAUGAUCUUUGUCUUGGCUUUUCUGGACUAUUUCCAUAUGUGUCCCUGUUUCUUUCCAGUGUUUUUACAUGUAUCUCAGAGUCCUAUAGCAGCUUGUUCAACAUCCUCUGGACAGAUUCCAGUUUAUCAAUCUUCUUCCUGAAAUAUAGUACCCAGAACUCAAUAUAACCCUCCAGAUUUGGUUUGACCAGUGCAGAACAGGGCAGGGCUUAACACGUCUUUCCUUAUCUCAGCAGGAGCUGAUAGUAAAGAGCUUCUAAUUUCAACAGCAAAAGCAUCUUAAGUCUUUCUCAGACAUCAUUAGUGCUCUGUGAUUUUCAGUGCCUCUUUGGAAUGGCAGCUCUUAAAAUUGUACAUGUAGAUCCCUUCUGAUGCUAGUCAUACUCCAUCCGUGUAUCAUUUAAGAACAGAGAGGUUAUUGAGAGGUGAAGCUGAAGAGGAUUCAGAUGGCAGCUUUCUUGAAUUAGAAUUUGCCUAUGAUUCAUGCUAAGAAAAAGCACUGGCAAUCAGAACAGAGAACUGGGAAGUUUUAUCUUUUUCAUAUUUGUAUGAAGGUUGUUUUCACAUUGAACUGUUGGAUAUGGGGAUAAUGAUGCAAAUCUAGAUAGAUUAUUAGGUAGAAAAUGCUUUGGUCAGCUGGACUUUAAACAAACCCGUAAUUGGCUAGGAAGGAUGGAUUAUGGGGAAGUUACGCUGCAGGCAGAUGUAGUCCCCCUGGGGUAGUGAGUGGGGCUUCUUUACCAAUCACCAUGUUUCUCGUUCAGUUACCACAUAAUCUUUUAUGGGGAAGAAAAGCUCCACACAUUCAGCAAUUUGUGAAAAUGGUUUGAGAUAGAUCAGCUUGCCUGCGAUUACUCACACUCCUGGUUGUCUUGGUGCACAUCAGAAGCCUGAUAAAUGGAUUUAGUUGUAAUGCACUUAGGAGAGAAAGGUAGAAAAUGACCUGCUUCAGUUUGCAAAUGCUGUGAAAGUGAACAUUGGAAGAGAAGACUAGAAAGGCAUUCAAGAAUAGGAGGACCAACUGAGGCUUUGCAGAAGAACAUGGCAGAAUUUGAGGAGAAGAAGGCAAGAUAGUUGGUCUAGACUAAACUUUAACCUUCUCCAAAUUACAGGAUUUCAUUAUUAAUAAUACGAAUUCUCUUUCUGUGUCUCUCUCUUUUCCCCUUCACUCUUUCCCUUUUCCUUCUAUGCCAUUCUCUCUCUCUCCCUCCCUCUCUCCUUCUCUCUGUCUCUCCAUCUCCUCUCUUUGUUUCUGUCUCUACAGUUUUCUCUCCUCCUCCCUCCUCCCUCCAUUCUUUCCUUACUCUAACCUUCUACCUUAGUGUCUACAAUACUAUGCUUUAAUUCUAAGGCAAGGGACCAGUAAAGGCUAGGCAAUGGGGGUUAAGUGACUUGCCCAGGGCCACCCAGUUAGGAAGUGUCUGAGGCCAAAUUUGAACCCAGGGCUUUCCAACUCCAGGACUGGCUCUUAAUCCACUGAACCACCUAACUGAACACUAUCCAUUCUCUUUUCUGCUUAACAGCCACAUGAGACAAGUACUAGAGAUAUCAGCAUAUCCAUUUAACAAAUGAGAAAAAUUGAUUUUUUUAGGGUCAUACUUACAUGAAGUCCAACACAUCCUUAAUAUUCCAUGGCUGCUCUCAGAAGGUAUACCAUCGAAUGAUUAUCACCUCUGAUUAUGCAUGUCAUUUUCAUUUAGCAGUUGUCAAGGAUGAAAACCACCUAUUAAUAUAUGUAUAUAUGAAAAACAUAUACCUAGGGAAAUAUAUGUGUAUAUUAUGUAGAUUAUAUAAAUAUAUGUUAUAUAGAAAUAAAUAUAUACAUAUACAUAUAAAUACAUAAUUAUUUCCCUGUAUAAUAAUGAAA